rnacentral:rRNA from 1 species
GAUGAACGCUAGCGGCAGGCCUAAUACAUGCAAGUCGAACGGUGUCUUCGGACAUAGUGGCGCACGGGUGCGUAACACGUAUGCAACCUACCUUACAGUGGGGGAUAGCCUUUCGAAAGGGAGAUUAAUACCGCAUAAGAAAGUAGCUGGGCCUCCAGCAGCUGUUAAAGAUUUACCGAUGUAACCUGGGCAUGCGUCCAAUUAGCUAGUUGGUGAGGGAACGGCUCACCAAGGCAAUGAUUGGUAGGGGAACUGAGAGGUCAAUCCCCCACACUGGCACUGAGAUACGGGCCAGACUCCUACGGGAGGCAGCAGUAGGGAAUAUUGGGCAAUGGACGCAAGUCUGACCCAGCCAUGCCGCGUGCAGGAUGAAGGCGUUAUGCGUUGUAAACUGCUUUUAUACAGGAAGAAACGACUCUUGCGAGAGGCAUUGACGGUACUGUAUGAAUAAGCACCGGCUAACUCCGUGCCAGCAGCCGCCGUAAUAC